rnacentral:rRNA from 1 species
UAUCAACUUUCGAUGGUAGUUUAUGCGCCUACCAUGGUUGUAACGGGUAACGGAGAAUCAGGGUUUGAUUCCGGAGAGGGAGCCCGAGAAAUGGCUACCACAUCCAAGGAAGGCAGCAGGCACGCAAAUUACCCACUCCCGGCACGGGGAGGUAGUGACGAAAAAUAACGAGCCAAUCCUCUACGAGGCUUGGCAUCGGAAUGGGUACAAUCUAAAUCCUUUAACGAGGAUCUAUUGGAGGGCAAGUCUGGUGCCAGCAGCCGCGGUAAUUCCAGCUCCAAUAGCGUAUAUUAAAGUUGUUGCGGUUAAAAAGCUCGUAGUUGGAUCUGCGGUGCAGUAGAGCGGUCCCCCAGUGGGUGUGUACUGCUUUUUACUCACCUAAUUCUUCUGGUUUGGCCUUGUUGCUCUUGACUGAGUGGCAUGGUUGGCUAGAUCUUUUACUUUGAAAAAAUUAGAGUGCUCAAAGCAGACGGUUUGUCUGAAUACUGGUGCAUGGAAUAAUGGAAUAGGACCUCGGUUCUAUGUUCGUUGGUUUUAAGAGCUCGAGGUAAUGAUUAAGAGGGACAGACGGGGGCAUUCGUAUUGCGACGUUAGAGGUGAAAUUCUUGGAUCGUCGCAAGACGGACUACUGCGAAAGCAUU